ensembl:snoRNA SNORD33 Small nucleolar RNA Z195/SNORD33/SNORD32 family
GUUGUCGGUGAUGUUUUACUAGUUUGAGUUUCACAGACCAUGAGAAAACCUUACAUGCACUACCAUCUGAGGCAUC